GGCUAAAUACUCCUGACUGACCGAUAGUGAACCAGUACCGUGAGGGAAAGGCGAAAAGAACCCCGGCGAGGGGAGUGAAAAAGAACCUGAAACCGUGUACGUACAAGCAGUGGGAGCCCCACCACUAAGCCAGUGGUGAACUCCACAUCCGCAUCCUUUGCUGAGGAUACGGUUAACGGAGCGAAAGCGACGUUCAACCGCAAAACAAGCAGAGGGGGCUUAGUGGUGGGGUGACUGCGUACCUUUUGUAUAAUGGGUCAGCGACUUAUAUUCUGUAGCAAGGUUAACCGUAUAGGGGAGCCGUAGGGAAACCGAGUCUUAACCGGGCGUUAAGUUGCAGGGUAUAGACCCGAAACCCGGUGAUCUAGCCAUGGGCAGGUUGAAGGUUGGGUAACACUAACUGGAGGACCGAACCGACUAAUGUUGAAAAAUUAGCGGAUGACCUGUGGCUGGGGGUGAAAGGCCAAUCAAACCGGGAGAUAGCUGGUUCUCCCCGAAAGCUAUUUAGGUAGCGCCUCGUGAAUUCAUCUCCGGGGGUAGAGCACUGUUUCGGCUAGGGGGCCAUCCCGGCUUACCAACCCGAUGCAAACUGCGAAUACCGGA
rnacentral:rRNA from 1 species